rnacentral:rRNA from 1 species
CAGUAGCCGCGGGAAUACGUAGGGUGCGAGCGUUAAUCGGAAUUACUGGGCGUAAAGCGUGCGCAGGCGGUUGUGUAAGGCAGGUGUGAAAUCCCCGGGCUUAACCUGGGAACUGCGCUUGUGACUGCACAGCUAGAGUAUGGCAGAGGGGGGUGGAAUUCCACGUGUAGCAGUGAAAUGCGUAGAGAUGUGGAGGAACACCGAUGGCGAAGGCAGCCCCCUGGGCCAAUACUGACGCUCAUGCACGAAAGCGUGGGGAGCAAACAGGAUUAGAUACCCCCGUAGUCCCUGUCUCUUAUAC